AAAGCCGCGGGCCUUACAAUGCAAGUCCGAGCGGUAGAGAGAAGCUUGCUUCUCUUGAGAGCGGCGGACGGGUGAGAAAAGGCUAGGAAUCUGCCUGGCAGUGGGGGAUAACGCUCGUUAACGGACGCUAAUACCGCAUACGUCCUACGGGAGAAAGCAGGGGACCUUCGGGCCUUGCGCUAUCAGAUGAGCCUAGGUCGGAUUAGCUAGUUGGUGAGGUAAUGGCUCACCAAGGCGACGAUCCGUAACUGGUCUGAGAGGAUGAUCAGUCACACUGGAACUGAGACACGGUCCAGACUCCUACAGGAGGCAGCAGUGGGGAAUAUUGGACAAUGGGCGAAAGCCUGAUCCAGCCAUGCCGCGUGUGUGAAGAAGGUCUUCGGAUUGUAAAGCACUUUAAGUUGGGAGGAAGGGUUGAAACCUAAUACGUUGCAAUCUUGACGUUUUUUAUAGAAUAAGCACCGGCUAACUCUGUGCCAGCAGCCGCGGUAAUACAGAGGGUGCAAGCGUUAAUCGGAAUUACUGGGCGUAAAGCGCGCGUAGGUGGUUCGUUAAGUUGGU
rnacentral:rRNA from 2 species